AUUGAACGCUGGCGGCAGGCCUAACACAUGCAAGUCGAGCGAGCGGCGGACGGGUGAGUAAUGUCUGGGAACCUGCCUGAUGGAGGGGGAUAACUACUGGACACGGUAGCUAAUACCGCAUACCAUCAGAUCUGCCCAGGUGGGAUUGGCUAGUAGGUGGGGUAAUGGCGCACCUAGGCGACGAUCCCUCGCUGGUCUGAGAGGAUGACCCGCCACAAUGGAACUGAGACACGGUCCAGACGCCUACGGGGGGCGUCAGUGGGGAAUAUUGAACAAUGGGCGCAAGCCUGAUGCAGCCAUGCCGCGUGUGGGAAGAAGGCCUUAGGGUUGUAAAGCACUUUCAGCGGGGAGGCGUUACCCGCAGAAGAAGCACCGGCUAACUCCGUGCCAGCAGCCGCGGUAAUAC
rnacentral:rRNA from 1 species